UACCAGCACCCCGAGUGGUCGGGACGAUUAUUGGGCCUAAAGCAUCCGUAGCCGGUUCUACAAGUCUUCCGUUAAAUCCACCUGCUUAACAGAUGGGCUGCGGAGGAUACUAUAGAGCUAGGAGGCGGGAGAGGCAAGCGGUACUUAGUGGGUAGGGUAAAAUCCGGUUGAUCCAUUGAAGACCACCAGUGGCGAAGGCGGCUUGCCAGAACGCACUCGACGGUGAGGGAUGGAAAGCGGGGGAGCAAACCGG
rnacentral:rRNA from 1 species